rnacentral:rRNA from 1 species
GUGCACCAGUCGAGAAUACUUUACAAUGUGCGAAAGCACGAUAAGGGAACUCUGAGUGCCUCCUAAGGAGGCUGUUCAGGUGUCUAAAAAGCACCUGGAGUAAGGGCUGGGUAAGACCGGUGCCAGCCGCCGCGGUAACACCGGCAGCCCAGGUGGUAGCCACUUUUAUUGGGUCUAAAGCGUCCGUAGCCGGUUGAGUAAGUUCCUUGGGAAAUUUGGCUGCUCAACAGUCAAGCUUCCAGGGAAUACUGCUCGACUUGGGGACUGGGAGAGGUCAGAGGUACUCCAGGGGUAGGGGUGAAAUCCAUUAAUCCCUGGGGGACCACCGGUAGCGAAGGCGUCUGACCAGACCAGGUCCGACGGUGAGGGACGAAGGCUAGGGUCGCGAACCGGAUUAGAUACCCCUGUAGU